UGAUCACAUCUGUAACAGACAUCCCAGUUACAUGUCUUCUUCUGAUCACAUCUGCAUCACUUUUUCCACAUUUCCACGCCCAACUAGAUGCAUCCUGACACCAAAACCAGAGGAAGAGUCCAGAGGAAGACACCUUCAGCCUGAGGACACUGAGUAUGUUAAAGGUGGCAGAGACUGGCUGUAACUCCACAGGAACCUGAGGAAGCCUUGCAGUGUCUUUGGCUAGAAGGCCCUUGUUGGAUAGCAUCACCUUGAGCUCA